UAGGUGGCGCCGUAAAAUACAGCUUUGCUGCUCCAUUUCUCUUUUGCUCCCUUUAGGUGAAUAACGGGUAUCUGAUAGUCGAGGCAAUCGACUAUAACGUUCUUCCUUGGAUGGAUGUGUAUAAUACUUUACUGGUUCGGACGGUAAUACGCAUUUAGACUCCAAGGAUUGCAUACGUACACGUUGUCGAUGGGAUUUCAUAAAAUACAUUAUACAACUUUAAUUAAAACAACAUCCUUUUAUUAAAUUAAAAAUGCUAGAAAUUACUCGUGACCAAUUAUCCUACUUCAAAAUGUGACCCGUAGUGCUUAACGUCUUUCUGACACCAAAAAGGAUCAAAAUAAUAUUUUCGAAAAUAUCAA